rnacentral:rRNA from 1 species
GAUUGUGUCUGCAACUCACUACAUGAAGCUGGAAUCGCUAGUAAUCGCGAAUCAGAAUGUCGCGGUGAAUACGUUCCCGGGUCUUGUACACACCGCCCGUCACACCAUGGGAGUUGGGAAUGCCCGAAGCCUGUGAGCUAACUUUUAGAGGCAGCAGUCGAAGGUAGAAUCAAUGAUUGGGGUGAAGUCGUAACAAGGUAUC